CACGGGCCCAUGGGAGUUGCUCAAUAAAGCCCUAUUGUUUAGUCAGUCGACAAACUGCAAGUCUGAGUCCUAAAUACGUCACCCACUGACCACUGGGGAUGGGUGAAUAAUGAGAGCGAGGACGUGAGGGCAGCCUCCUCCCCCAUCUGUUUAUUUUUCCUGCCUGAGUCUAAAAUGGCUUCAAGCCCUGGACUCACAGCAGUCAUGCCUCUUCCUGUGGCAGCCAGAAAGGGGGCAGAGGACAGUGCUACUCAAGGUCGUUUGAAGGAGGCGAGGACCUACCUACCACAAAGGGCCGUUGUGAAAAUGCAGACGCCCAGGAGCAAGGAGCGAGGACAAGACUCCCAAUCAGGAGGCACCCCUUGCUGGGACUUUAGGAGCAAAAACAAAGAAUGGUCACCUACAGAAGGCAGAGACACAGUGAAUUAGAAGGCGGCACGCCCUCCAGGUGGAAGAAUUAAACACCCUCUCUGCGCAGACAAGUUAGGACAGGGGUGCCUGUGGAACUGUGGAGGCCGCUCCGGAGCCUUCUCCAGGUGCAGGAAGCAACACCAGAGCAUCUUCUUAAGAAGUAAACAGUGUCGCCUAAAUUAGCUCUAUUUUUUUUUUCUGAACGGCUUUGAAGUGGCAGAUUCUAGGGAAACCCCCAAUACCCUUUAAGGGGGAGAUCAAGCACUGCAGCGUGUUGCAGCGAGGUUACUAAAGCCGUUCACAGGCCUAGGGGCUCGCCGUAAAGGUGCAGUCAACACGCAGGCGUGCCGGUGAAUGAGCACAGCCCUCAUCCUCUGGGAGCAUACCCUCCAGUGCCUUGGAGGGACCAACAGCAUAAUGCACAGGCCGAGGGAAGUAAAGAGAUGCAGAGUAAGCACUGACAGGCACAGAGGAGGGAGCAAUACAUUUAUUUUAGGAGAACCAAAGAAGGCUUCACAGAGAAGGCUUCCGAGGAUAGGUGGGAUUUGCAUGACUAGAGGAGCCAGGUUGAGGGAAAAGCAUUAGCAAAACUAGGAGUCAGGAGAGCUGUGGUGUGGCCGGAGCACAGGGUGGAAGGAGUGGGUGAGGCUAGAGGCCAGCUGGGCCAACCCUGGGAGGCCUGAGAACAAGGAGGGGUCAGAACUCGGCCAAAGUAGGGGAGGGGGUUAUAAUUCAACCUCUAUCUUAGGAUAACUCUGACAACACGAGGAAGUCAGACCAUAGAGACUAAAGACAUUAAAAUCAUCUAGAAGACUUGCAAUGACCCAGGAAGGAUGCUGAGGCAUGAUGGCCAGGCGAGUGGGGACGCAAAGGAGGAAGUAGGGAGGAGGACAGGGAGAAGGGGACACCAAUCUGAAUCUGAAAUAGUGAACACAGGAGUGAGAGCAGGUUUAGAAGAACAAGGCUGAAUUCAGUUAAGGAGAAGCCCAGUUUGAGAUGCUAACAACUCAGUCUUGUAGAAAUGUCUAGCAAUUAACUAACCAUUUAGCUAGUUUUAAAACUGAAAGGCAAAGAAAUUGGUAGUGAACCAGGGAGGUGUGCAAGAGUCCCUGGCUUGUUGGAUGGCUGUGGUAGUGAUGAGGUCAGGGCAGCCGUUCUCAGACCUCAAGGGCAUCAGCAUCGCCUGGGGUGCGUGGUACCAAGGCAGAUGGCUUGAGCUCGCCCCCAGUGGUCGUUGAGUGUUUGGCGUCAGUGCCUACAGAAGGGACACUGAUGCCAGUUACUUGGUUAAAAAAAUUAAAAGUCAAGGACAUUCCUUUAAACUUUUAACUCUUUUCUCAUUAACUAACUAGAAUAUCUUCAUCUGUUUACCUUUUAACGAAAUAAUCUCUCUUAAUGAUUAACUGCAGUUAAUUCCCAUUGGCCAGCAGAAAGGUCAGUGAAAUUAGCCUCAGGAGAAACCACCUAAGAUGGCGAAGACUAUUUUGUCAGAGGUGGGAGGAGAUGGAGAAACAGAGAUAAGAGGUGGUAGGAGGGCAUGGCUACGUGCGAAGAAUGGUGGUCUGAGCAUUGCUAUCAAAAACGGCUUAGCGGUCAUGGGUGGUCACUACAAAAUGUUGUGAGGAGCCAAUAGAUUCUGUCCUUCUCCUCAGGAAAGGAGUAUGGGCUUCCUGCCAGCCUCACGCGGCCUACCCCAGAUAAGGCCCAAGUGGGCCAUGUGUGCUCCUGGCCCAGCCUAUCUCAGCAGAAGGCCACUGAAGGCUUUGCUGCUGUUAACCUUUGACCCCUCGACCUGUGUGACCUGUGCAUUUCAAAGUUGACCAAGACUUGUUAAAGUGUCACAUGAAGAAAAGACAACAAGGCCUGACAGGAAAACAUAAGAAAUGCAAAGUCAACCUUGAAAUCCUACCUGUGCUCAAAAAGGACUAUCCCAACCCAAACGAGCUUGGAAUCCAAGGCCAGUUUUCACAAAGCUUCAAAUAUUGGCAUUUAAUAUGAAGCGUCAUUCAGAAAGAAAUGACAAAGGAAAACACGUGCAUCUUAAAAGCUGAUUAGCAAAGGGCCAAAGAAGGGGAGAAAGAAGGAGGACAUAUUUUCCUUUUAUCUGAAACCUAGACUAGGCCUGAACCCAACCGCCCUAUCCCCAGCAACCCUGUCUGCACAGGGAGUGACCAACCAUCCCAGGUUGCCUGGACGCGCCUGGUUUUAGCAGUGAAAAUCCCAGGAACCCCCUCCAUUGGUUAGUCACCCCGGGUCCCCAUCUUGGGAGACUCAGGGACCCAGUGCCAGGCCGAUGUGCUAUGAAAAUGUGGGACUGGGAAUGAGACAGACUCCUGGUUCUGUCAACUCCUGGCUUGCCACUUACUAGAUGUGGGUCCCAGCACAGACCCCGUAAUUUCUCUGAGCUUCAGGUCCCUCACUCUAAAAAUGGGGCUUAAAAAAGCUGCUUCCUGGUAUUGGUUGCAAGGAUUGAUGUGUAAAGGAACACGAAGCACGCACUCUGGGUUACACGUGAGCUUUCAACCAGCGUGCGAUGUGAGCUAUCUACCGGUAAUGGAGCCAGCAGGUUUGCCCCCGGGUGUGGCCCGUGCUGGGAGGGAGGCAGAGGUGUGGACCGUUGUUGCUUCCCCUGGCAAACGUGCAGUCCCUGUCACACGUGGCCCCAGCGUCCCAGGGUGCCAGGGUCCCGACAGGAGGCCAGAGCUUGCUCGGGGCCCGUGGGAGGGAGAUCUCUGGUGAUGCUCAAGAGCACUGAGCAGGCACACAGCCGUCAUGUGAGAAAGCCACAUCCCCAGGCCACCAUGUCUUGCUCCUGCGUGCCGAGUGGCGAGGCUGGAGGCAGGGAACAGCCACGGAGAGAAGCAAGCUGCCAGCGUUUCUAAGUGCUCGAUGACGAUGAAUUCCCUCCUGUGGGGAACAGUCCGAAGCACACUGAGCGACAGCAGCCACGUGCAUCUGGCCCACAGCCGUCCUUCCGAGGCCUCCCCGAGCUCUGGGUUUUCAUGGGAACGGCUGGGUCUUCUCAUCAGUGAGUGACAACGGGGCACGCAGUCUCAGUGAGGUGGGGCACGGGCCCCCUCAGAGGGGCUCGAGGCAGAGGACGCUGCCCCCAGCGCUGUGGCAAUAGCAAGAAGAUGAAAUAAGACCCUUGAUUUUCAAAGAUUCUGUGAGGGUCCUUGAACUGCUCUGCUCACUUUUUCAGCGGCUGUGUGGCAUUUACAGGCGAGUGACAGAGAGGCAGGAAGCACAGAGGCUCAUGCAGAUGCAAGAGUUUUGUUCACUCCAAGUAUUAAUUGAGCUCCUACUAUGUAGCAGCCUUUCAGUUACACUCUGUGCUUUGCUUCUCACAGCAGAGAUGCCCACACGGCAGCCUUGGCUGCUCUCUCCCCACAGCUCCUCCUCUGGCUCCGCUCAGAAGGGGCACACGAAAGCCCCUUUGGACUAAGUGCGGUUAUUAUAAGGUGUGGUCCCCUAGACACUGCCCUCUCUCUAUCUUGACAAUACGACUUCCUGUGAUAUUACUGAUUACCUCCUGUCAUCUCAGUAACAAAGGCUGAUACCUGGGGCUGUUUUUUUUCUCCUCUCGGCAAUAUGCUUGACAUUUAAUGCAUCAUCAAAAAGUUUCUGAGGUUUUGGGGCUAAAACUCUGAGAGUAUUACUUCCUGUCCCGGCAGCAGCUCAGGUUCCCUGAGCAGCCCGAGGCUGUGAAGUAGGGCUGCUGCUCUGCUCUGACUUCACCAGAUGGUCCCAUGGACUCCAAGGCUAGCCAAGAACCCAGCCCACCCUCAGUGAACCCUCUCAAGGGCUGAGAAAUGUGCUCCAGACCUGAAACCAAGGGCCACUGGUUCCUGUCCCGAGCUCUGUCCCUUGGUUCUACAGUCCUUGAGCAAGUCACUUAACCUCUCAGCUGCUCAGAUCAGUAGCAUUGCAACGUUGUGCAAAAUGGUCCCCAGAGCCUGGUCUGGCAUCCAGUCCUCUGAUCUCCAAGUAUGGACUUGAACUGUCCUCAGACCAACGGGGUGACCUGCAGUGAAGCCUUCAGCAAAAGCACUCAUUUUUCCUAGAGCCUCAUAAAAAGAAGCGAGGUCCCAGAUAGCUUCAGAUGGCUAGAAGCAGGCACGGGCAGCCAGCUUUCCCGAGGAGGUACAAGGGCGGCUCUGUCAGGGCCAUCAAAGUUGUCUCGGGGCUCCCGGCCGCUGGAGACUGUUCCACACUGACAACUGCAAAUCCAUUUGCAUCCACUUAGCUUUCUAGAGACCGAGGCAUUUUUCAGUUACAGCAAACAACACAUGAAUGUGAAGCUCCGAGCAGGGAGCACAGGACGAAAAGGACUGGCGAGUCUCUGGGGCUCCUGCUGACUUGUCUUGAAAAAUCAAAAUGAACUUUUUUCUUCAAAG
rnacentral:lncRNA from 1 species